UCGUGCUAGACGGGGAGGUAGCGGUGCCCUGUACUCGCAAUCCGCUAUAGCGAGGUUGAAUCCCCGCUCGAGGGGUCUGUUCGUGAAGUCUGGCUCAGGCAAGUGGCGUUGACGAUCGGGUCUUACGCAACAGGAACCCAUGAACCCCGUCAGGUCCGGGAGGCAGCAGCGGUAAGUGGACCCUCCUGUGUGCCGUAAGGGUGCCUGGUCCGAGUUAACUGCUUGAGUAACGUUCGGGGGCAGGCUUCGACAGCGGGUGCACGA
rnacentral:SRP_RNA from 1 species